rnacentral:rRNA from 1 species
AACCAACAGGGAUUGCCUCAGUAACGGCGAGUGAAGCGGCAACAGCUCAAAUUUGAAAUCUGGCGCAAGCCCGAGUUGUAAUUUGCAGAGGAUGUUUCGGGUGAAGCCCGCGGUCCAAGUCCCUUGGAACAGGACGUCAUAGAGGGUGAGAACCCCGUACCUGGCCCGCCGGUGCCCCCCGCUGUGAAACUCCUUCGACGAAGUCGAGUUGUUUGGGAAUGCAGCUCUAAAUUGGUGGUAAAUUCCAUCUAAAGCUAAAUACCGGCCAGAGACCGAUAGCGCACAAGUAGAGUGAUCGAAAGAUGAAAAGCACUUUGAAAAGAGAGUUAAAAAGUACGUGAAAUUGUUGAAAGGGAAGCGCUUGCGGCCAGACUUGCCCGCGGUGGCUCAGCCCGCCCUUUGGCGGGUGUACUCCUCCGCGGUCAGGCCAGCAUCGGUUUGGGCGGCCGGACAAAGGCGCCGGGAACGUAGCCUCCCCUCGGGGAGGUGUUAUAGCCCGGCGCGCAAUGCGGCCAGCCCGGACCGAGGUUCGCGCUCUGCUAGGAUGCUGGCGUAAUGGCCCGUAAGCGGCCC